ensembl:miRNA Gm23164 predicted gene, 23164
UAUCAAUCCUAUGCUGCUAUGUAUUAUAUAUUGUGUGUGUGUGUGUGUGUGUUAUAUAUAUAAGCACACACACACACACAAUAUAUAUGCGCACACA